AGCUAAAUUUCCAGUGCUCUUGCCUUCCCAGCAGACAAGCUCCAACUUGCAGAGGAAAGUCUUUUUUCCACUGCUAAAAGGAAGUGGAUACCUCUUUACUGGGGAUACCUCACUUCCUGGGGGCUUACCUGGUUUAUCUUCCUCAUCUCAGUGCACUACAAUGGUAGAACCCAUUCAUUCUCAAGUAGUUACUGAACCACAGAGACUACCAAUUAUGUAACAUGUUUAAGUAUACACUAAAGACUAUAUUGAGGGCCACAAAUCAAUGAAAAUGAUAACACAUAGCACUUCUUCAAGAGAUGACUUUUUAUGUAUAGAUACUUGAAACUGACCCAAAUCCUGCAGCCUUACUUCAGACAAAGCUGGUGCUGAAGUCUACAUUAGUUGAUUGAAAUAAAUUAAAGCUUUGCUUCAGUAAGAACUGCAAAACCAGGCCUAGUGUGGUUAAGAAGUUAAUGAUAUAGCUUUCAUCAGCUGAGCUCUGAGGUAGACUUAAAAAGAAUUUCCUGGUGGAGUAAGAAGACCAACAAGUAGGUAACUCAUGAUGCUGUAAUACUUCUGAACUAACUUGCAGGGCUGGAACUAUGGGGAUUCUGGAUUGCUGACUCAUCCACAUCACCACAGGAGGCAUCGGCUGGGCUCCCACAGAAGGACCCUGUGAGGCUGGAUUCAGCAGGAAAUACUAUCCAACAGGACCUGACAGGUGGCCCCUGAUUGGCCGAUACCAGUACUUAAACAGGAAGCCACGAAAAGAAGCUGUCUGAGCAACAACACAGACUCCCUGCCCAUCUCUACUCUAGACCCUGCUUGCAAUACACCCUAGACUCUGGCUUCUGACCCUAGUUUGUCCUCAACUUCACUAUUUGAUUGCUGUCUGUAACCUUGUGUACAAGCCUGAUCUCCUGCUAACCUGACCCUCCCUGUCUCCUGAUGCCUGACUCUCAAUUCACCCUCUGACCUGUCUCAGAUUAUGUCCUCCCGAUAACCUGACCCUGCCUGCCUAUUGGAGCCUAACUUUCAAUUCACUCUGUGGCUCAUCUUGGGACUGUGACCUCAAAAUACCUGAUGUGGCCUGAUUCCUGCUCCAGCUACUAGGUAUGACUGCCCUCAUUCUGGUUGUGACACUAGACCAGGUGCAUAAUCACCCCCCCCCAAAAAAAAAACCCCAAACAAAUAAACAAACACACUUCCCAUUGCUCAGGCAUUAAUGUAUUGUGAACUUUUUCCUCUCAGGAUUAUCUGUGGAGAAAUUUAGAAUCAAUAUUUAUACCUAAUAUUGCUACAAAAUCCUCCCCCGGUCCCCCAAAAUACCUGCUCUUUGAAAGAUAAAAAUAUUCUGAAUUCAAAACAUCAUUCUAAUGCAUAAUUGUUAUAAAGUAAAGGUUAAUAAUGGUAGCACUGGUGAGUACUGAGUUUUACAGAUACCCAGUAUGACAAGAUAUUGCAUCUGUAAUGUUAACUAAAUACUAUCACUCAGUGACAUUAAAUUAUAACAACUUUGGUGAAAAAACACCUCAGAAUCAAAACUGAUUAAGUUUGUAAAUGAUUUGUGUUUGGGAAAAAAAAGACAAUUGUCCAAAAAGAGGAGAGCUUUAUAAAAGAUUAUGACAAAUUUAUAUCAGAUGCUUUUUCCAUGUUGUAGGUCAGCUAAUGCCCUGACAGUUCUGUAUCCAACUCUUACUUGAAGCAGACAUGAUAGGACGCAAACAGCAGCACUUAAAUGAGAGUUAAGGUUAAUGCAGAUCAUUCUGACAUCUGUACAAAUGUGACAGCCAAUCCCGCUGAAAUACUUUUAAAAUAUUACUGAUGCCAAGAUCAACGGUGCUGAAUGUUACACUAAUAUCCAACUGUGAAAAAGAGACACAUCAUUGGAAUGGGAAUUCAGGACCAGAAUUAAGAAGCUCUAAAUAUGCUGUGAUAAAGCUAUGAACCAGACUAAAUUUUUCAAUUAAAUGAUUGCUGGAAAGACAACUAAGAAGAGAACACAGAACUCAUUGGGCAGUGAGAGAGGCCAUUCAGCCCAUCCAAGUUCAUCCAUUCUUAGUACUCUACUUCCCUGUGUUUGGCAUCUCAUUUUUCUCAUAGAACGCCUGUGUUUUUGCCUCAGCAAGUUUGCCUGACAGCCUGUUUCACCCAUUUAUCACUCUCUUCAUGAAAAAAGUGGUUUUUGACACCUAUUCUGAUUUUUUUUCUCCUUAAAUGGUCAUUGUAUUUUCCUAUAUCCAAUCUUCUGUGCUGAACUGAAAAUAUCUCAGAUAUUAUUGUCAUAAAAAUUGUAUAUGCUUCAGUUUAACCUUUUCUUAGCUACUGUAUUUUGCAGCUAAUGUAGAUAUCUGUAUUUUCAGCUGGUCCCGUUAAACAUGGAGGCUCAAUCUCCAGGGUUGUCUUUCUUUUUUUCCAGUGCUACGGCAAUUAAUUCCUGUAUCUUAAUGAAUAGAACUGUUUAUCCUACCAUGUCUGUUUGUUGUAAGACAUGAUUGCAGAUCUGUAGUAGUUUCAGCUGAAUUGUGACAUACAGGGCCAAAUCCUCAGUCAUGGUGUUUUGGCAAUGGGCCUAAGCUAAUUGACACCAGAUGAGUUUCUGCCCCAGUAUCUCCAAGCAAAAUUGUGGCAAACAUCAAUGUGGGUGCGCUGGUGAUGGGGAGAAUCCAAAGAAUCUUUCUGCCUUGUGUCCUUACACAGGUUCUGCUCAGGUCAAGGAUUGCACUUGGCUAGUGACACGAGCCACCCAAAAGCAGCAGGGAAAGGGAAGGCCACAGUGCAUACUCCCUGAUACCUUGGUUCCUAGAAAUUUGUUGGCAUGCUGUCACACGUUUUUCUCUGCAAUUUUGGCACCCAAUCCUGUGAGAUGCUGUGAACCGGUUACUCCUCUUCACGUCAACCAGAGUUGAGGACAUCAAGCAAAUCACUAGAGACACUCAAUGAAUUGCAGAAUGGGAAUGUUAGUGCCUACCCCUGCCUCCUUUGAAACCACUGCUAAAAUUAUUGACUUUAAUAGGAAUGGCUCAGGCUCUUUGAAGUACUACAGCAAAUUGGCAAGAAGAAAGCAAAAUUAUAGCAUCAUCUUUUUAAAUUAUUUAAUGACAGAGUCUGGGUCCCUUACUUAUACUAAGCAGUAUCUAAACCAUACUUUCAUUGAAACUGGUGCUGCCAAACCUAAAUGUAGAUUAGCCUGCGUUAGUAGAUUUACAGUAAAUAGAGCCCUCAGUGCAAAUGAUUCUGAAUGAUAGAAACUAAAAUAUGUGACAAUGUGAAACUUAUGAAAUGGGUUCUCUGAAAAAGGUUGGCACAUUUUAUGUUACUUGAAUGGCUAAAUUUGACCUUUCGGUAUAUUUCUUUUUGAUACUUGGGUACUUGUCUAGUUAAUUUGUACACAUGGCAGGAUCUUGUAUGCACUGAUUUAAUAAUAAAACUAUAUUUUCAUCUCA